AUACUUUAUUAAAUAUGUAACAAACAGUUCGACCGUAUUUGUUUAAAUAGGUAAUGACUCAAAAAAGGGAAAGGUAGCAAUAAAGAAUCAUGUUUAUUUAUUUGUUUACUACGAGUAUUAUGAAUCAUAUUGUGAACACGGUUUAGUUUGUCUUUUUGUUUGAUUGAAGGUAGUUGAUAAAUUAAUGUGAAUGUU